AUGACAGACUACGGCCAGAAGCAGCGCAGGAGUCCAUCUACCCUGACUCCUUCAUGGUAUUAUCAGAAAAUCCACCCAGUUUCACCAUUACUGUGACAUCUGAGGCUGGAGAAAAUGAUGAAACUGUCCAGACUACCCUCAAGUUUACAUACAGUGAAAAAUACCCAGAUGAAGUUCCCCUUUAUGAAAUAUUCCCUCCGGAAAAUCUGGAAGAGAAUGAUGUCUCAGACAUUUUAAGAUUACUAGCAGUACAGGCUGAAGAAAAUCUUGGUAUGGUGAUGAUCUUUACUCCAGUGACAGCUGUGCAAGAAAAAUUAAAUGAUAUAGUAGAUCAGAUAAAAACUAGAAGAGAAGAAGAAAAGAAAACAAGAAACAGAAGCAGAAAAGGUUGAAAAGCAAUUAUUCCAUGGCAUCCCAAUUACAAUAGAGAAUUUCUUAAAUUGGAAGGCCAAGUUUGAUAAAGAAUUCUUGGAACUUAAAAAGAAAAGCAUAAAAGAAGAAUGAGCAAGAAAAAAUAAAUUAAGUGGGAAACAACUACUUGAACAGAUCAUAAUCUUGACACAUCUGAUAUCCAGUUCUUGGAGGAUGCUGGAAACAAUGUGGAGGUGGAUAAGUCUUUGUUCCAAGAAAUGGAUGACUUGGAGCUGGAGGAUGAUGAGGAUGAUCCGGGCUACAAUCCUGCUGACCCAGAGAGUGACUCAGCUGACUAAUGGACGUCCCCAUCUGCAGAAAGGCUUAACUGCCACAGCAUCUGUGGCUAUGCUCAGAGGGUUUUGAUUUUCCUUUCUUUUAUUCUAAGAAAAAUUAUUUUCAGGAGAAUACUCUUCUGAUAGCUUUCAUCAUUGAACUUGACAAACUGACCUUAAAAUUUCAAAAAAAA